UAAUUUGUCUCAGCCAUCCCACUA
rnacentral:tRNA from 1 species